GAUGAAGAACGCAGCGAAAUGCGAUAAGUAGUGUGAAUUGCAGAAUUCAGUGAAUCAUCGAAUCUUUGAACGCACAUUGCGCCCCUUGGUAUUCCAUGGGGCAUGCCUGUUCGAGCGUCAUCUACACCCUCAAGCUCUGCUUGGUGUUGGGCGUCUGUCCCGCCCCCGCGCGUGGACUCGCCCCAAAUCCAUUGGCAGCGUUCCUUGCCCCCUCUCGCGCAGCACAUUGCGCUUCUCGAGGGCGGCUCCGGGACGCGAUCCAGCAAGAUGACCACCGUCUUUGACCUCGGAUCAGGAAGGGAUACCCGCUGAACUUAAGCAUAUCAAUAAGCGGAGGA
rnacentral:misc_RNA from 1 species